CGGAAGUAUAAAACACUGGCCUCCCGGAGCUAAGCUAAACUGUUCACUCACUGCGAUGAUGAGCACACCCACUGACGUGAGCGGCUUGCUCUGUGACUGUGUUAUUAUGGGCCUGGAGGAGAACCCCGACAAGGAAAAGCAGCAGAAUCCAAAUCCCCCAGAGACCUCUUGAAUGCAUUUACUCUACACACUGUGGCACUGGAAACCUCUUGAGUACCAUUCAGGAGUUCAGGCAUGGUGAGAACAAUUAGGGGCUUUAACAGGGGUAUUCAAAAGCCAAGCACUGAGAGCCACUGGAUUCAUUUGUUACAUUCAAAUUUUCUCCCUUGGCCACAUGAAGCUUUGUUUACACAAAAUAGCUGAUACCAUUUUAAGUCUCUCAGCUUUCCAUUUUUACUGCUGUGUUUAGCUCCUCUGACUGUGUUCCUUCUGAAAUAAAGUUGGCAAGAGGCUGGGAACAUCGUGGUACCCAUAGCCAGUGUCAUUUCUUCAAACAGGUAUGUUCAGCAGCUGCCUACUUAGGAAGACAAGAGGGCACUGCAAGAUCCAACCAGAAUAAGAGGAUGUCCUCCACAGCCCCCUCUCCACCUUAUCAGCUACAAUGCAAUCUAUUGAAGCCGUUGUUUUCUGGGUCAGAAAAAAAAAUUAAUGGUAUAUUUUCUCCAAAUGUCACUAUCAUACUGUGAAUAGGCAAAACCUAUUAUCCCCAACCUUUUCCUUUAGCAUAUUAAUAAUGGCUCAUAUGUUAAACAUCUUACUAAAAAUCAUAGAUACAUAUGGCUGUAUCUCCUUGACUUAGUAGUGUGUAGUGGUAGCUCAGCAAACCAAAUAUAAAUAAUAUUGCCAUCAUUAAUCACAAAUUGGUUCAUUAUCAUCAUCUAUGUAAACAGAGUGACCCUGUUGAUGAAGAAGUGAAGUAUAGAAUUCCAUCUCUUCAAAGAGGGAUCAAAUGUGGCUAAAAGAUAUUCGAUAAGACCUCUAGGUGGAUGACUUUGGAAGCAAGAAGGCAGCACACAACACUGAUGGCAAUCCUAAAAGCCAGAGAGGUUCAUUGCAGGAUGUGUGGAAAAGCCAAGGAAAACGAGGGGCUCCAAAGAAGAGCAAUCCCUUGCAGUUCACUGCUUGGUAAUUUCAGAUCGUGUGAUAGGCAAGCAAUGCCAGGCCGGUCAGUCAUCCCUUCUGUAAAGCUAAAAGCCUUAGGAGUCUUAGAGUUUUGCCACCUGCAUAUUGUUUCUAGACAUGCGAACCAAAAAAAGUGUGUCAAUUAAGGAUUUUUCAUUGUAAGCCAAUGGUCAGGGUAAGCAGCAAGGGAAUGUCCAUUGAGCCAUGUGGUUGGCCUGUAAUGGAAUGCUGUCUGCAGUGUAAGAUACUCCAGGGUGGCAUUCUCUGGGUGAAAAUUAAAAGCAUAUUUGUAAGGUGAUUAGCAGAAUUUGUCAAAUAAACAAGCCUGUUUACAUUCCCA
rnacentral:lncRNA from 1 species